UGGCGCUUGAGGCUUUUUGCCUCAUGACGGUAAAAAGUUGUGCGGCAGAAAGAAGAAAGCCCCGAAGGUCAUUUUUCAAUUAACCAACGAGGCCUGUCUAUAUGCUAGUCACAUGUAGAGUAGCCUCUUACCCGCCGAAAGGCAAGGAGCCGCAGGUUAUGAAG
rnacentral:antisense_RNA from 1 species